UGGGGAAUAUUGGACAAUGGGCGAAAGCCCGAUGCAGCAACGCCGCAUGGGCGAUGAAGGCCUUCGGGUCGUAAAGCCCUUUUUGAGGGGAUGAGGAAGGACAGUACCCUCAGAAUAAGCCUCGGCUAACUACGUGCCAGCAGCCGCGGUAAAACGUAGGAGGCGAGCGUUAUCCGGAUUUACUGGGCGUAAAGCGCGUGCAGGCGGAUUGGAGAGUUGGAUGUGAAAGCUCCCGGCUUAACUGGGAGAGGUCGUUCAAUACUUCCAGUCUUGAGUGCAGUAGAGGGAAGUGGAAUUCCGGGUGUAGUGGUGAAAUGCGUAGAUAUCCGGAGGAACACCAGUGGCGAAAGCGGCUUCCUGGACUGUAACUGACGCUCAGACGCGAAAGCUAGGGUAGCAAACG
rnacentral:rRNA from 1 species